GCUGAGGAUACAGCUCAGUUGGUAGAGUGCUUGCCUUGCAUGCACAAGGCCCUGUGUUCAAUCCCCAGCACCACAGGA
rnacentral:tRNA from 1 species